rnacentral:lncRNA from 1 species
GGGAGAGAUCAGGGGAUAAAGCAGAGCAAAAUUUCUGUCCUCAUGGAGCUUGUGGUCUAAAGGAGGAAAAAAGGCAAUAAACAAAUUAAAAAAGAGGAAUACAAAGUAUGUGGGUAGGGAUGAGUACAACAGAGGAAAAUCAAGCAGGAAAGAUAGAACUCUGGAAAGAAGUAGGGCCAGUGUCAAAUAGGAUGGCCAGGGAAUGCCACACUGAGAAGGUGACACCAAAGCAAAGACCUACAGGAGGUGAAGUGGUGAGCCAUUCAGGUCACUAAAGGAG